AUGUUUUCUGAUUUCUAAUUCAAAGGAAACCGAUUUUUGUUUUUGUUUUGGCACAUUGGAGAUUUUAUGUUGCAUUUCAGUAUUAAACAACCAAUAUUCUUAUCUUCUUCAUUUGAAAUUCAUCUGAAAUUAGGUUACUCUUUUGUUGUUUCAGCGUUAAAUUCUCUCUGUGGAUGUUCUUCAUAUUCGAUUAAGGGGUUUCUGUUAUGGGUGUUUGUUCUCGAUCACUGGUUUGCGGAAUGCAUCUUCUUUUUCGAUAUGGGCACAUCUGCACAGUACAGGAUGCCAAUCACCAUGUCUAUAUUGGUUGUUACCUAAGAUGUCCAUUGUCUCAGAGGUGGUUCUAUUUUGAUAGAGCAGCACACUCAAUCUAAGUGGAGAGUACAUAUUAGGUAGAAGUAGACAUUAUGCAUUAGUAAAACAAAAGUCAAGGGCAAACACUAUCACAUGUUGGUAUUUACUUACCAAGUCCUGUGUUUUCACACGGCCAGUUGUAUGUUGCUAUAUCUCGAGUGAAGACAAGAUCUGGAUUGAAGAUACUAAUAUGUAAUGAGGAUAUUAGUCAAAGAGAUGUCACAAAGAACAUUGUCUUCAAGGAGGUUUUUCAAAAAAUUUACUCUUCUUAAAUUUUGUAACUUGCUAUUAUUUUGUUGUCUUAUUUUGUGUAAUAUAAUAUUGUUCAUGUUGAAAAUUGUAUCAGUUAAUUGACAAUGUUUUCAAUAUAUCUAUUAUCAUGUGUAAA